rnacentral:ncRNA from 2 species
GGGUGUCCGCUUGCAUGCUGCAGCGGACAGGUAUCUGUGCUGGUCGGGCCGCCAGCA